UGUUGCAGUUAAAAAGCUCGUAGUCGAACCUUGGGUCUGGCUGGCCGGUCCGCCUCACCGCGAGUACUGGUCCGGCUGGACCUUUCCUUCUGGGGAACCUCAUGGCCUUCACUGGCUGUGGGGGGAACCAGGACUUUUACUGUGAAAAAAUUAGAGUGUUCAAAGCAGGCCUUUGCUCGAAUACAUUAGCAUGGAAUAAUAGAAUAGGACGUGUGGUUCUAUUUUGUUGGUUUCUAGGACCGCCGUAAUGAUUAAUAGGGAUAGUCGGGGGCGUCAGUAUUCAGCUGUCAGAGGUGAAAUUCUUGGAUUUGCUGAAGACUAACUACUGCGAAAGCAUUCGCCAAGGAUGUUUUCAUUAAUCAGGGAACGAAAGUUAGGGGAUCGAAGACGAUCAGAUACCGUCGUAGUCUUAACCAUAAACUAUGCCGACUAGGGAUCGGACGGGAUUCUAUAAUGACCCGUUCGGCACCUUACGAGAAAUCAAAGUUUUUGGGUUCUGGGG
rnacentral:rRNA from 1 species